rnacentral:rRNA from 1 species
UACGUAGGUGGCAAGCGUUGUCCGGAAUUAUUGGGCGUAAAGCGCGCGCAGGCGGUCCUUUAAGUCUGAUGUGAAAGCCCACGGCUCAACCGUGGAGGGUCAUUGGAAACUGGGGGACUUGAGUGCAGAAGAGGAGAGUGGAAUUCCACGUGUAGCGGUGAAAAUGCGUAGAGAUGUGGAGGAACACCAGUGGCGAAGGCGACUCUCUGGUCUGUAACUGACGCUGAGGCGCGAAAGCGUGGGGAGCAAACAGG